AAAAAGACAAACCCUGGUUUCCGUGUCCAACGUUUGACCGUUCGUCUUAUUUGAAAAAAUUAAAAAGAUAAGUCACGCAUAAAGUAUUAAUCAUGUUUUAUCAUCUAACAACAAUGAAAAUACUAACUAUAAAAAAAUUUCACAUAAGACGGACAGUCAAACGUUGGCACGGGAACCCACGGUUUGUCUUUUU
rnacentral:pre_miRNA from 1 species